rnacentral:rRNA from 1 species
UGCAGUCGAACGAGCUCUUCGGAGCUAGUGGCGGACGGGUGAGUAACGCGUGAGAAUCUACCUCUUGGUUGGGGAUAACAUUUGGAAACGACUGCUAAUACCCAAUGUGCCGCAAGGUAAAAGAUUUAUUGCCAGGAGAAGAGCUCGCGUCUGAUUAGCUAGUUGGUGAGGUAAGAGCUCACCAAGGCAUCGAUCAGUAGCUGGUCUGAGAGGAUGAACAGCCACACUGGGACUGAGACACGGCCCAGACUCCUACGGGAGGCAGCAGUGGGGAAUUUUCCGCAAUGGGCGAAAGCCUGACGGAGCAAUACCGCGUGAGGGAGGAAGGCUCUUGGGUUGUAAACCUCUUUUCUCAGGGAAGAAUAAAUGACGGUACCUGAGGAAUAAGCAUCGGCUAACUCCGUGCCAGCAGCCGCGGUAAUACGGAGGAUGCAAGCGUUAUCCGGAAUUAUUGGGCGUAAAGCGUCCGCAGGUGGUCACUCAAGUCUGCUGUCAAAUACUAGAGCUUAACUCUGGAAAGGCAGUGGAAACUGAGAAACUAGAGUCCGGUAGGGGUAGCGGGAAUUCCCAGUGUAGCGGUGAAAUGCGUAGAUAUUGGGAAGAACAUCGGUGGCGAAAGCGCGCUACUGGGCCGGAACUGACACUCAGGGACGAAAGCUAGGGGAGCGAAAGGGAUUAGAUACCCCUGUAGUCCUAGCCGUAAACGAUGG